GACGAACGCUGGCGGCGUGCCUAAUACAUGCAAGUUGAGCGCUGAAGGUUGGUACUUGUACCGACUGGAUGAGCAGCGAACGGGUGAGUAACGCGUGGGGAAUCUGCCUUUGAGCGGGGGACAACAUUUGGAAACGAAUGCUAAUACCGCAUAAAAACUUUAAACACAAGUUUUAAGUUUGAAAGAUGCAAUUGCAUCACUCAAAGAUGAUCCCGCGUUGUAUUAGCUAGUUGGUGAGGUAAAGGCUCACCAAGGCGAUGAUACAUAGCCGACCUGAGAGGGUGAUCGGCCACAUUGGGACUGAGACACGGCCCAAACUCCUACGGGAGGCAGCAGUAGGGAAUCUUCGGCAAUGGACGAAAGUCUGACCGAGCAACGCCGCGUGAGUGAAGAAGGUUUUCGGAUCGUAAAACUCUGUUGGUAGAGAAGAACGUUGGUGAGAGUGGAAAGCUCAUCAAGUGACGGUAACUACCCAGAAGGGGACGGCUAACUACGUG
rnacentral:rRNA from 1 species